AUUGAACGCUGGCGGCAUGCUUUACACAUGCAAGUCGAACGGUAACAGGCCGCCAGGUGCUGACGAGUGGCGAACGGGUGAGUAAUGCAUCGGAACGUGCCCAGUCGUGGGGGAUAACUACUCGAAAGAGUAGCUAAUACCGCAUACGAUCUAUGGAGGAAAGCGGGGGACCGUAAGGCAUCGCGCGAUUGGAGGCGCCGAUGUCAGAUUAGGUAGGUGGUGGGGUAAAGGCUCACCAAGCCAAAGAUCGGUAGCUGGUCUGAGAGGACGACCAGCCACACUGGGACUGAGACACGGCCCAGACUCCUACGGGAGGCAGCAGUGGGGAAUUUUGGACAAUGGGCGCAAGCCUGAUCCAGCAAUGCCGCGUGCAGGAAGAAGGCCUUCGGGUUGUAAACUGCUUUUGUACGGAACGAAACGGCUCUGGUUAAUACCCGGCGCUAAUGACGGUACCGAAAGAAUAAGCACCGGCUAACUACGUG
rnacentral:rRNA from 1 species